UCCCUCGAUUUCUCUGGGAUCCCAUCAUCAGAUCCUGGUUUCCUUAUCACGGUACCAAACUAGGGAUAUCCCCUUUCCAACAAAAUAAGAAUUAUCAAAAUCGGUACAUCCAGUAGAAAGUUAUGCGGUAUAAUACAACGUAGGUCGACGAAAAAGGCGUCAAGUAAAAACGCAUUAUUAGAUAUAACUCAAAAAGUAAUUGUUAGAUCUCAAAUAAAUUUAAAUGGGACCAAUUGGCACACACCACCUUUCGAUUAAAACAAAAUUUGUCGAAAUCGGUCUACCCGUGCAAAAGUUCUGAUGUAACAUACAUAAAAAAAAAAAAAAUACAGUCGAAUUGAGAACCUCCUCCUUUUUUGGAAGUCGGUUAAAAA
rnacentral:misc_RNA from 1 species